GCACCCAUAGCUCAAUUGGAUAGAGCAUCUGGCUUCGGACCAGAGGGUUAGGGGUUCGAGUCCUCUUGGGUGCGCCA
rnacentral:tRNA from 1 species